UGGGGAAUCUUCCGCAAUGGACGAAAGUCUGACGGAGCAACGCCGCGUGAGUGAUGACGGCCUUCGGGUUGUAAAGCUCUGUUAAUCGGGACGAAAGGCCUUCUUGCGAAUAGUGAGAAGGAUUGACGGUACCGGAAUAGAAAGCCACGGCUAACUACGUGCCAGCAGCCGCGGUAAUACGUAGGUGGCAAGCGUUGUCCGGAAUUAUUGGGCGUAAAGCGCGCGCAGGCGGAUCAGUCAGUCUGUCUUAAAAGUUCGGGGCUUAACCCCGUGAUGGGAUGAAAACUGCUGAUCUAGAGUAUCGGAGAGGAAAGUGGAAUUCCUAGUGUAGCGGUGAAAUGCGUAGAUAUUAGGAAGAACACCAGUGGCGAAGGCGACUUUCUGGACGAAAACUGACGCUGAGGCGCGAAAGCCAGGGGAGCGAACGGGAUUAGAUACCCCGGUAGUCCUGGCCGUAAACGAUGGGUACUAGGUGUAGGAGGUAUCGACCCCUUCUGUGCCGGAGUUAACGCAAUAAGUACCCCGCCUGGGGAGUACGACCGCAAGGUUG
rnacentral:rRNA from 1 species